AUUGGUGUGAGAGGGGACUGUAGAGAGGAGGGUGCCUAACCUCUGCCCCGCUCACACCUUCUUACAG
rnacentral:miRNA from 1 species